UUGUGGAGGAGGACGCCGAAGGUGGGGCUAAUGACUGGGGUGAAGUCGUAACAAGGUAGCCGUACCGGAAGGUGCGGCUGGAUCACCUCCUAACAGGGAGACAACAAAAUGUUUAAUAUUAUUAUUUUGUCACCUUAGGUCGAUCGGUAUCUCACGUUCUUAAUUUAUUAAGAAUUUCAUUUCCUAAGUUUUUCUAGGUCACACCCAUUAUUUUCCCUGGGCCAUUAGCUCAGGUGGUUAGAGCGCACCCCUGAUAAGGGUGAGGUCCCUGGUUCAAGUCCAGGAUGGCCCAUAUCUCUAUGUUGGGGGUAUAGCUCAGUUGGUAGAGCGCCUGCUUUGCAAGCAGGAUGUCAGCGGUUCGAGUCCGCUUACCUCCACUGAUUACCACCUCUUCCAUAACCGGUAGAAAGGGAAUGUUUUGAGUUGUGAUCAAAUUCUGAAAGAAUCUAGCUUCCUAAUGAAACCAUUAAGAUGCUGGACUCAUUGAAUGAAUUUCAUUGUUUUCAGAGAACCUUGACAACUGCAUAGAUUAUUUUUUAAAGACAAUAAGCAUCUUUAAUGAUGCAGAUUUUUUAUUUGUGCGAAUGCAUUAAUAACAAUUCUAUUAAGCUGAUGCUUCAAUUUUUGAAGUUAUUGGUCAAGCUACAA
rnacentral:misc_RNA from 1 species